UACGAAGGGUGCAAACGUUGUUCGGAAUUACUGGGCGUAAAGCGAGUGUAGGCGGUCCGAAAAGUCAGGUGUGAAAGCCCUGGGCUCAACCCAGGAAGUGCACUUGAAACUGCCGGGCUAGAGUACUGGAGAGGUUGGUGGAAUUCUCGGUGUAGAGGUGAAAUUCGUAGAUAUCGAGAGGAACACCGGUGGCGAAGGCGGCCAACUGGACAGAUACUGACGCUGAGACUCGAAAGCGUGGGGAGCAAACAGG
rnacentral:rRNA from 1 species